GUGCUCGAUUCGGCAGCACAUAUACUAAAUUUGGAAAGAUAUAGAGAAGAUUAGCAUGGCCCCUGCACAAGGAUGAAACGCAAAUUCAGUAAGCGUUCCAUAUUUUU
ensembl:snRNA U6 U6 spliceosomal RNA